ACUGUAUUAUCGAAUAUUGACUGCCUUCUGAUUUUAUUGAAUAUUAAAAAAAAAUAAAUAAAAUAACUGAUCGCAUGAUUUCACAUAUUAGUUUUAUUUAGCUGAAUAUUAAUAAAUCGUUUGUUUAUAUCAUUUACUACAAAAAAAAAGGACAUUUUGUCUUAACUUUAUUUUAACUUUAUUUUAACUUUAUUUUAAUUUCAUUUUGAUUUUGUUUUAAAGUAUUUAUGAUUAUUGUUUAUUUUGUUGAGUUUUAUUUUAUUUUUGGCCAAUAAUGAAGUGAUAUAAUCUCAUAGGAACACAUGUGUGUAUUAAUUUUUUUUUUAUACGUUCAUCCAUACAUAUAUAUAUAUAUAUAUAUAUACGUAUGCAUAUAUAAGUGGGAUUUUUUUUUACUAAAUACAUACGUGUAAACAUAUUUUGUAACGUGCUGAACCCGUGUUUUGUUCGUCUAUGUAUGCUUUUUACACAUAUGCAUAUGUACACAUAUACAAACUUUCUUUUAUUUUUAUUUCUAUUUUUUUUUUUAGAAUGGACAAUACUUAUGAAAAGGAAAUUGGCUGUAUGGGUGGAAAUAAUAGUCCAAGUGAAGGAACUCCAAAAGAGCACAUUCAGAAACACCCGCUAAAUAAUAAAACAGGCAAAGAAAGAUACAAUUUAAGCAAAAAUGAUUUUAUGAAACUUUUAAAAAAAAAAAAAAAAUCAACUAAACAAUGGAAGAAGGCAGCUUCUCAUGAUAAUGAAGAUUCUAAUUAUGUAUUAACUAAUCCUAGUCACACUGAUGUUAAACAAUAUUUUAUUUCUUUCAACCAGUUGAACAACAGAUUGUACAACUCUGAUGGAAAUCAUGAUGUAGACAAUGGUGAUGAUAAGGGUAAUCAGAGCGAUAAGGAAAAAUCGGAAAAUGGUACCCAAAUUAUAAAUAAAAAAAAAAAAAAAGAGGACAAAUUUAGUUUAUAUACGAAAGUAUCAAAAUAUAGUAAGAAAAAGUUAUCAGGAAAAAAAGAUGAUAAAAAAUCAAGUGUUUGUAAUAAUAUGGAUAGUGUAAUUGAGAACGUGGGAAAUAAUGAAUGUAGCGAUGUAAUAGAUAAAAGUAAUAAUUUUGAACCCCAUGAGAAUUUAAAAAAGGAAAUUGAGAAAAUAAAAGCAGAUAUAGAUAAAAUAAAAAAAAAAGGAAAUGUAAAAAGAAUAUAUGAUGAUUUAAAAUAUAUAUUAUUAUUUCAAAAUGAAAUAAUAGAUGUUUUAAUUGAAGAUAUAAGAAAAAAUCAAUUAAAAGUAAAAUACGACUUACUUGAAGACAGUACUGUUAAGGAUGAUAUGAAUAAAAUGAUUAUGAAUCAAAUAACUAUAGACCUUUUAAAAUUUAAAUAUGUAAAUACUAAAUUAAAAGAAUUAAUAACAUGUAUAUACGAUACUAAAAAAUUUAACACAUUAAUGCGAAAAAUUGUAUAUAAUAAAAUCAACCAAAUGAAACAAAUUGUUGAUAAAAAUGGAGAAUUAACAUUUGCUAAAACUACAUUAACUUUUUUAUAUAAACAAUUAAAAUUUUGUUUAGAAGAAGAAGUACAAAAUUAUUAUAAAGAAGUAAAAAAUUUAAAUGAUGAUAUUCAUAAUAUAAAAAAAAAUGUGUUAAAUAUUAUUUUAACUUCGAUAGAUAAUAUAAGUUCAAUACCAACUCCUGAUAGAAUAUAUGAUAUAAAUGACAAACUAAUCCUUAAGAAUAAUACACAAAAAAAUAGUAUGCAGCAAAUUAUGUGUCCUGCUUAUCAUAAAGACUUAAGUAAUUUUUUUUAUUUAUAUGAUAGUAUUUUUAUAGAAAGUAAGACUGACAUAAAGUGCAAUAGGACUAGCAUAAAAAAUGAUAUGACUAAUAAUACGAAAGAUGAUAAAAGCAAUGGUGAUAAUGUAGGCGUCCUUUGGGAACACAAGAAAAGGAACGGUAUUGAACAUAUAGACAUUACUAAAUUUCGAAAUUAUAGUAUUAUAAAUAAUAUAUAUAAAAAUAAUGAAGAAAGAGGCAAUGAUAACAGUAUGAUAGUAAAUGGUACUAGUACUAUUAGUAAUGGUGCCUAUAAUAAUAACCAAAAUUUGAAACUAUAUAAUACUAAUAUAAAUAUACCCUACACAAAUAUAAAUGUAGGUCAAAAUAAUCAUUCUACCGAAUUAUACUAUAAGUGUCAUCAUCCAAUCGAAUUAAUGAAUAAUAUACCAAAUCCUUAUGCCAAUCAAAACAUACCAAUAAAAUAUAACUACUCAAAUAAUAGUAAUAUGAAUAAUACUGAAAAUAUUGUUUAUAAUAGCCAUAAUGGUCGGCCUAUUUAUAAUGAUCGUGAUAUCCGUUUUUGUACUGAUGGAUAUGAACUGAACGGAAAACCAAUUUUUUUUAAUCCACCCAAUUUUAUAGAACAA
ensembl:lncRNA